CAAUAGCGUAUAUUAAAGUUGUUGCGGUUAAAAAGCUCGUAGUUGGAUUUCUUCUAGGGAUGGCGGGUCUCCUUCUUAAGGAUGUAUUUUGUCCAGCCUUGGAAUCUUCUUGAAAAUCGUUUUUGUGUUUGAUUACAUGAUUCGACGUUCAAGACUUUUACUUUGAGGAAAUUAGAGUGUUCAUAGCAAGCAAUCGCCUUGAAUAUAUUAGCAUGGAAUAAUAAUAUAAGACUAAGUACUUAUUUUGUUGGUUUCUAGGGACUUAGUAAUGAUAAAUAGGGAUAAUUGGGGGUAUUCGUAUUGACACGUCAGAGGUGGAAUUCUUGGAUUGUGUCACGACGAACUACUGCGAAAGCAUUUACCAAGGAUGUUUUCAUUGAUCAAGAACGAAAGUUUGGGGAUCGAAGAUGAUUAGAU
rnacentral:rRNA from 1 species